AACAGAACAAGCCUGCAGCUGGCCUUUAUCUAGUCAUGUAAGACUCGAGGUCACUGCCUCAGUGGGGGAUAUACAGUGGUACCUCGAGUUAAGUACUUAAUUCGUUCCGGAGGUCCGUUCUUAACCUGAAACUGUUCUUAACCUGAAGCACCACUUUAGCUAAUGGGGCCUCCCGCUGCUGCCGCACUAUUUCUGUUCUCACCCUGAAGCAAAGUUCUUAACCCGGGGAACUAUUUCUGGGCUAGCGGAGUCUGUAACCUGAAGCGUAUGUAACCCGAGGUACCACUGAAUACUCCUGCCUGCUGGGCAGUUUCUCUUCAUUCUGUUUUUUUCUUUUGUUUCUGCAUAUACUGUUUGUUUUUGGCAUUUGUAACUGGACAUGCUCUCUGAGCAAAGUGAUUUUUUUGUGUGUCUUAAUGUGGAGCCAGUACGUUUCUGCAUGCUUUAAGGCCUCAGUAAAACUACUACAGUGGUACCUUGGUAGUCAAAUGCCUUAGUUGUUGAACAAAUCGGCUCCCGAAGUAAGUAUUCCGGUUUGCAAAUGUUUUUUGGAAGCCGAACGUCUGACAUGGCUUCCACGGCUUCCGCUUGAGUGCAGGAAGUUCCCACAGCCAAUCAGAAGCCGUGCCUUGGUUUUCAAACCAUUUCGGGAGUCAAACAGACUCCCAGAACGAAUUGAAUUUGAGAACCAAGGUACGACUGUACAGUGGUACCUCUGGUUGUGAACGGGAUCCAUUCUGGAGGCCCAUUCGCAACCUGAAAAGAACGCAACCUGCAUCUGCGCGUGCGCGGGUUGUGAUUUGCUGCUUCUGCGCAUGCACGUAAUGUCAUUUUGCACCUCUGCGCAUGCGCGAGCGGCAAAACCCGGAAGUAACCCUUUCCGAUACUUCCGGGUCACCACGGGACGCAACCUGAAAAUGCUCAACCUGAAGCAAACGUAACAUGAGGUAUGACUGUACUGAAGAAUCCUGCGGCCUGUGUGUGUUUUUUAUUCUUGCACGGUGUCAUUUGCUCAUGUUCUGAUGUGCUGUUUUCAGAUAUGGGGGCAGGGGGUGACUGGAUUUGGCACCAUCCCUGUCACCCCUUAAUAAGGACCCUUCAUGCUGCAAACCUUUGUCGCAGGUCUUGCUUGUGUCACCAAAUCGUUUGCAGGAUGUGCUCCUUUGGAAAAGGAGCCACAUCCUGCGAAUGGGCUCCCACAGACACACCUGCACUUGCCACACUUGCAACCAUUCCUGUUUCAUACAGGUGUGCCUUUUGUGGUUGCGGUUGUCCAAUCUUUCCACCGCAACUCACUCACUUUAUUGCUCAGCUGCCAGGCUCAACUCUGGAUGUUCUCAUUCUCCCACACCCCCAAAGGAUCAACCCCUGUAAUGGGUAGGCAGGCCUGCUAUAAUUAAGACACGAGGCUCUUUCCAUUAGAGCCACCAACAGCUGAAGCGAGGACUAAGGUUUCAUAUUAGAUUUUAUGGCUUCUCCUGCUUUGCAAAAGGAUCUGGUACCAGUGGCACUUAGGGAUUUGUGCUGUGUGAAAAGCUGCCAGCAAGGAUGACUAAGAUGGCUCUCCACUUGGAAAGAAGAUAAAGUCCCUACCAGAGAAGAAUGGCAAAUUAAAUCGAUGGCUAUGCUGAAAUGGCUAAAUUGACCGGAAAGCUCAGGAACCAGGAAGACCAAAACUUUAACAAACAAAGAGGGGUGGGAUUUGUAAUUUAUCUUGAAGACCACUGUAAGCAGAUGAAAACACUAGCAGGAUUGCAAUAACGCUUGUAAUGUAGCAAGAACUACGGAGCUGAUGGAGUUCACCCUUGCUUCUUGAUAAAGGUAAAGGGACCCCUGACCAUUAGGUCCAGUCGUGGCCGACUCUGGGGUUGCGGCGCUCAUCUCGCUUUAUUGGCCGAGGGAGCCAGCGUACAGCUUCCGGGUCAUGUGGCCAGCAUGACUAAGUCGCUUCUGGCAAACCACAGCAGCGCAUGGAAAGGCCGUUUACCUUCCCGCUGGAGCGGUACCUAUUUAUCUAUUUGCACUUUGACGUGCUUUCGAACUGCUAGGUUGGCAGGAACAGGGACCGAGCAACAGGAGCUCAUCCCGUCACGGGAAUUCGAACCGCUGACCUUCUGAAUGGCAAGUCCUAGGCUCUGUGGUUUAACCCACAGCGCCACCCGCGUCCCAAUAUGCUUCUUGAUAAAUACACAUUAAUUACAUUUCUGAAGUCUCCAUCCCUUGACCUGGAGUGAAUCGAACUGCUCAAACCCUUUACAGGAUGGCACAGCCUUCUGAUCACCUGAAACACCAGACAGGUGCAGUCCUGGAAGGUUGUAGGGACACGGGUGGCGCUGUGGUCUAAACCACGGAGCCUCUUGUGCUUGCUAUUCGGUAGGUCAGUGGUUCGAAUCCCCACAACAGGGUGAGCUCCUGUUACUCUGUUCCCGCUCUGUCCCCGCUCCUGCCAACCUAGCAGUUCGAAAGCAUGCCAGUACAAGUAGAUAAAUAGGUACAGCUGUGGUGGGAAGGUAAACGGCAUUUCCGUGCGCUCUGGCUUCCAUCACGGUGUCCCAUUGCGCCACAUCUGUCUGUGGACAAACCCCGGCUCCCUCGGCCUGAAAGCGAGCUGAGCGCCGCAACCCCACAGUCACCUUUGAACCGCCCAGGGGUCCUUUACCUUUUACCUUUGGAAGGUUGUGUGAGAGAGGACACACUGCAACAAUUUGUUGCAGAUCCCACUUCCUAAAUCCCCAAACUCAACAGCCUCCCAGAUUUGGCCAAUCCAAAGAGAAGAUCCAUUUGGAUUUUUCUGCAAGGGAAUCUUAGCCGGAGAUGCUCUGUGGGCAAGGGUAACCCUAAAUUUUAAUUGUUGCUCCACGCACUGUUUCUUAAACUUGCUUUUACAGGUUUCCCGGAAAGUGCUCCAUUCCCUCUGACGAUGUGAUGGUGCAGGAAGAAGGGACUCACCUUGAGCACUAAAAGAUAGGGGGGGAAAGACCUUAUUUGACUGAGGGAAGGGUUUCUGCCAGAAAUACGUCAAUUGGGUUCCUCAGUGUUGCAGACAGGUAGAAACCAUGGUAAUGGGCAGACAUGAUGAGAACUCUCAUCAAGUAUCCCAAAGAGGUGCUAGUCUAUUCUCAAGGUGGGAUGCAAUAUUUAGGACCUCCCCGUCCCCAACCUCACCAGCUCCCUCCCCCUGCAGAGAUGUCUUGACUGAGCCACGCACGUGCCAGAUAUUAAUCUCCUGGUGUUUUCAGAAGGAGCUGUUUAAAUAUUUUUACUGGGAAUCGUCUCUCUCGGUGAAGUGGGUGUGAGAAAGCCAAGUAGGAGAUGAAGUUGUCAGAGUGCUGAAGGCAAGGAGUGACUUAGUGAACUGCUGACAGAAGGCCUGGAGGAGACUGGUGGGGCUUGCAGAAAACGGCCGGGCUUGUGGGUCGUCCGAUAGAGCAGGCAGUGGAAGGAAUGGUGGGCCUUCUGAGUCUCCCUCGUGAAGUGAGGCAGGCGAGAUGUCUGCCCAUGGUUGGUCAGAGGGUGUAUGCUUGUGAACACCAGUUGCUGGAGGCCACAAGAGGGGAAAGGGCUCUUGUGUUCAGGUCUUGCUCGCUGAACUAGGUGGGCCAUUGGUCUGAUCCAGCAUAUGAUCUUCUUCUGUUCAUAUGGUUCACCUCUUCCUAAUACCACUUUCUUUGCUGCCCCGAGUGAAGCUUCUAGCUUAUUAUAUUUUGUUAAAUUUCAAAAAUUUCACAUACACACCCCAAAACUCUUCAUUCUGCUAUGAACCUACCUGAAGCUUGAUAUUAGCCAAUAAGGUUCUCCUUCAAGCUCAAUUUUUUUGGGGAGAAAUGAGAGUGGCCUCCACAGGGAGUAGGGCCUUCUUAGUGGUAGCUCCAGAGGCCCUGGCGGGGCUGGCCAUGUGCACUGUUUUACAGAGAGCAAUCCUUUCCUUGAAGGCAUCCCCUUUUGAAGGCGUGUCCGAUCUAAUCCCAGUUUCAAGAUAAAGAACCAUACAAUAUGAGAUUGUAUGCAGUUGCCAGUCAACAGUACAUACUUGGUCGGCAGACUGGACAGGCAGCCAGGUCACCUGAGUACAGUAGCUCUCGCUGCAAUGAGAUGCAUUGUAUUUCUAUAAUUAGAAUAUGGAUAUUGGAUUGUAGCAAAUUCUUGUCCUGCUCAGAGUAAACCCAUUGGAAUUAAUAAAUACUAAUUGAUUUUGCUCGAUAGUUUUAACUUGAGGUGAGAGAGCCAUUUUGUAAGAUCAGUUUAAAAAAUAAUACAGUAUUUUUUGCUCUAUAAGACUCACUUUUUCCCUCCUAAAAAGUAAGGGGAAAUGUGUGUGCGUCUUAUGGAGCGAAUGCAGGCUGCGCAGUUAUCACAGAAGCCAGAACAGCAAGAGGGAUUGUUGCUUUCACUGCGCAGCGAUCCCUCUUGCUGUUCUGGCUUCUGAGAUACAGAUUAUUUUUUUUCUUGUUUUCCUCCUCCAAAAACUAGGUGCAUCUUGUGGUCUGGUGCGUCUUAUAGAGCGAAAAAUACGGUAAUUUUGCCCUGCAUAUUUUCCUGUGCAGUGUUCCACCACCCCUUUUUUUGAUAUUUAUAUGAGUGGGACACCUAUGAAGAUUUGAAUGCAUCAAAGUAAAUAAAUAACCACCUUGAAACUCAGAGCAGAGGGUCACAGCCAGAGACACUGCAAUAUGGAAUCUGGAAACUCACACAGACACACACAAUGUGCUUCUGGUGUUUCUCUUGUGUGUGAAAAGCAGCUGGAGUCAUUGUUCUUUGUGCUCUGAUCACCUCCCUCCGCCAAUCCUACCCCCAGUACACUUCUUCCCCUCCCCUGUUGUGCUACAAGGCGAAAAAUGGUCCCCUCUAAGUAGGGAAUCAACACCCUUGACCAAAACUGCCCCCUUGAACUCUGCUGGUAAUAAUUGCUGGGCACGGCUCGUAAAUCGCCCUCUGCCCCAUAACUCUGACGACUGCACGAAUUUGGGCUGAUAUUUCCAACGUCGCUCCGACUUGCCGUAGGGCUGUGUGGGUUUAGUUCUCCUCAAAUCCUCUGCCAGGUGUAAGAUUACCCCGCCUUGUUCUUUGCCUAUGACCCGUUCCCCUCUGCCACCCCCCCCAAUCUCUUGGAUUCCAGCCCCCACCUGUGUGCAAAUUCUUCUUCCCCAGUGCUAUGCCCGGCUCAGAAUAACAAGCCUUUGCCCAUUUGCUCAGGGCUCUCAUUCCGCGGCUUAGGGGAAGGCAGGCUUUUAAUGAGAUAAAAGUGUUACAUCGAUUUCUCUUUUUUCAGCCUAAGCCCUGUGAAAAUGCCGUGGACGAGAGCCAGAGGUUCUUUGGAGGCAGACCCGGCGAUGUUUCAACUUCUUGGCCCUUCCAUGGGCGUCUUCCUUCUCCAAACGCUUGCUCGGGACUGGUAGAAUCAACUUUCACAGACAGAGCUUUACAUUUAUGGGGUGUCAUCUAGAGAGGCUCCCAGGAGAGCCUGGCUUGAACUUUUCACCAUGCAAGGAAGCAGGGAAAUUAAGGAGGAUCAUCAGCUCCAAAGCCGGAGAAGACUCUUCCUUUGUGUGAUGGGAGAUAACUCAGCUGUGGUUCGUUCUGCUGUCCCUAGGAACACAGGAGGCUGCCUUUUACUGAGCCCAUUGGUUCAUCUGGCUCACCAGCUCCAACCUUCUGCAUGCCAAGCAGAUGAUCUGCCACAGUGCUACAGCCAUAGGAGCCAACUCCUAGGGGCCAAGCUCCCUUUGGCCUCCCAAUAAAAUAUUUGAUGGGGACACCCCCAAGUUGAUGGCCAUUGCCAUUCAAAUGGUGUGGAUGCACCCCCAUCAUGCGAUCGAUUAUGUGGGACGGGGCUUACCUGCCCCCCUAUUUUAUUCAAGCUGGCACCGCUGGCUACAGCCCUUCUCCUAAGAAAGAAGCUGUGCCACUGCUUCAAGAAAGUACUGGUCCUCUGCCUGGAGAGAAUUCAGAUGAUCCUUCUUCAUGUUCACCCUCAAUUCAAGGUGAAGAAUUUCAGCCAGACCUUCUUGCUCAAUUGCCACCUUGUCUUGCAGGUGAUGUGAAAUAUAUUCGGAGUCGAGAGUGGAUUUCAUGCUCUUUAUUCAGCUC